UACGUAGGGGGCAAGCGUUGUCCGGAUUUAUUGGGCGUAAAGCGCGUGUAGGUGGCCAUGUAGGUCCGCUGUGAAAACUUGAGGCUCAACCUCAAGCUGUCGGUGGAAACCCCAUGGCUAGAGUCCGGAAGAGGAGACUGGAAUUUACGGUGUAGCGGUGAAAUGCGUAGAUAUCGUAAGGAAGACCAGUGGCGAAGGCGGGUCUCUGGACAGUUCCUGACGCUGAGGCACGAAGGUCAGGGGAGCAAACGGG
rnacentral:rRNA from 1 species